rnacentral:rRNA from 1 species
GACAGAGGGUGCAAACGUUGUUCGGAAUUACUGGGCGUAAAGCGAGUGUAGGCGGUGUGGUAAGUCGGAUGUGAAAGCCCCGGGCUCAACCCGGGAAGUGCACUCGAUACUGCCACGCUAGAGUAUCGGAGAGGUUGGUGGAAUUCUCGGUGUAGAGGUGAAAUUCGUAGAUAUCGAGAGGAACACCGGUGGCGAAGGCGGCCAACUGGACGAAUACUGACGCUGAGACACGAAAGCGUGGGUAGCAAACAGG